UACAGAGGUCUCAACCGUUGUUCGGAUUCAUUGGGCGUAAAGGGCGCGUAGGCGGCCUUCUAAGUCGAACGUGAAAUCCCCGGGCUCAACCCGGGAACUGCGUCCGAUACUGGAAGGCUUGAAUCCGGGAGAGGGAUGCGGAAUUCCAGGUGUAGCGGUGAAAUGCGUAGAUACCUGGAGGAACACCGGUGGCGAAGGCGGCAUCCUGGACCGGCAUUGACGCUGAGGCGCGAAAGCCAGGGGAGCAAACGGG
rnacentral:rRNA from 1 species